rnacentral:rRNA from 1 species
GCGGCCACUGCUAUCAAGUUCCGACUAAGCCAUGCGAGUCAAGGUAUCGUAAGAUGCCGGCAAACUGCUCAGUAACACGUGGAUAAUCUAACCUUGAGUAAGGGAUAACUUCGGGAAACUGAAGGUAAUACCUUAUAAUUGCUUAAAACUGGAAUGUUUUUGCAAUAAAAGUUACGACGCUCAAGGAUAAGUCUGCGACCUAUCAGGUAGUAGGUGGUGUAAUGGACCACCUAGCCUCAGACGGGUACGGGCCCUGGGAGGGGUAGCCCGGAGAUGGACUCUGAGACAUAAGUCCAGGCCCUACGGGGCGCAGCAGGCGCGAACACUGUGCAAUGCGCGAAAGCGCGACACGGGGAGCUUGAGUGUCUUGGCAUAGCCAAGACUUUUCUCAUUCCUAAAAAGCAUGAGGAAUAAGUGCUGGGUAAGACGGGUGCCAGCCGCCGCGGUAACACCCGCAGCACGAGUAGUGGUCACUUUUAUUGAGCCUAAAGCGUUCGUAGCCGGUUUUGUAAAUCUUCAGAUAAAGCCUGAAGCUUAACUCCAGAAAGUCUGAAGAGACUGCAAGACUUGAGAUCGGGUGAGGUUAAACGUACUUUCAGGGUAGGGGUAAAAUCCUGUAAUCCCGGAAGGACGACCAGUGGCGAAAGCGUUUAACUAGAACGAAUCUGACGGUAAGGAACGAAGGCUAGGGUAGCAAACCGGAUUAGAUACCCGGGUAGUCCUAGCUGUAAACAUUGCCCAUUUGAUGUUGCUUUUCCGUUGAGGGAAGGCAGUGUCGGAGCGAAGGUGUUAAAUGGGCCGCUUGGGAAGUAUGGUCGCAAGACUGAAACUUAA